rnacentral:lncRNA from 1 species
UUUCCGGUGUUUUUCUGAUGAUCCUUGAACGAGGAUGCCUUUUACGACAUUGUAUACGAGUUUCACAGCCAGGUUUUUCGUUUCCGUAAUCUGUUUGAAAACCCUAAUUUUUCUCUUUAAUCUUUACUCUUUUAAAUGACUUUCAGUUUGAUUUCCUGGUUUUCUACUCUAUAUCUACUUAGUUUCUCCGAGUACUUCAAAUUUUUCGACUCUUCCAGACUAGGAUUUCUAACCCUUUCUCCAAAAUUAUUUCUUCUACUGUUUCUGAGUGUUAUAUAGUCGUUUGAGUUGUUUAUUUUACUUGUUUGUUUGUUUCUUUGACUACUUGGGCUUCACACUGUGAUUUCUAUUUCUAGGGUUUCAUAACCCCCUUUCUAAAAUACUCUACUUUUCUGGUCUCUAGCAUUAAUCCCUGGUUUUCGGUACUACUUCUAAGUAUUGUGUUAAAAUUUGAUGAAAAC